CAGCCGCCACGGUAAUACGGAGGGUGCAAGCGUUAAUCGGAAUUACUGGGCGUAAAGCGCACGCAGGCGGUCUGUCAAGUCAGAUGUGAAAUCCCCGGGCUUAACCUGGGAACUGCAUUUGAAACUGGCAGACUGGAGUCUUGUAGAGGGGGGUAGAAUUCCAGGUGUAGCGGUGAAAUGCGUAGAGAUCUGGAGGAAUACCGGUGGCGAAGGCGGCCCCCUGGACAAAGACUGACGCUCAGGUGCGAAAGCGUGGGGAGCAAACAGGAUUAGAUACCCCGGUAGUCCCUGUCUCUUAUAC
rnacentral:rRNA from 1 species